UACGGAAGGGGCGAGCGUUGUUCGGAAUCAUUGGGCGUAAAGGGCGCGUAGGUGGUUCUGUAUGUCUACCGUGAAAGCGUACGGCUCAACCGUAUUUCGUCGGUAGAAACUGCAGGACUUGAGGCUGGGAGGGGCUGGUGGAAUUCCCUGUGUAGCGGUGAAAUGCGUAGAGAUGGGGGAGAACACUCGUGGCGAAGGCGGCCAGCUAGACCAGUUCUGACACUGAGGCGCGACAGCGUGGGGAGCAAACAGG
rnacentral:rRNA from 1 species